UACGGGGGGAGCAAGCGUUGUUCGGAUUUACUGGGCGUAAAGGGCUCGUAGGUGGCCAACUAAGUCAGACGUGAAAUCCCUCGGCUUAACCGGGGAACUGCGUCUGAUACUGGAUGGCUUGAGUUUGGGAGAGGGAUGCGGAAUUCCAGGUGUAGCGGUGAAAUGCGUAGAUAUCAGGAAGAACACCCGUGGCGAAGGCGGCUCUCUGGGACGGUACUGACGCUGAGACGCGAAAGCGUGGGGAGCGAACAGG
rnacentral:rRNA from 1 species